AUUGAACGCUGGCGGCAUGCCUUACACAAGCAAGUCGAACGGCAGCAUAGGAGCUUGCUCCUGAUGGCGAGUGGCGAACGGGUGAGUAAUAUAUCGGAACGUGCCCUAGAGUGGGGGAUAACUAGUCGAAAGACUAGCUAAUACCGCAUACGAUCUACGGAUGAAAGUGGGGGAUCGCAAGACCUCAUGCUCCUGGAGCGGCCGAUAUCUGAUUAGCUAGGUGGUGGGGUAAAAGCCUACCGAGGCGACGAUCAGUAGCUGGUCUGAGAGGACGACCAGCCACACUGGGACUGAGACACGGCACAGACUCCUACGGGAGGCAGCAGUGGGGAAUUUUGGACAAUGGGGGCAACCCUGAUCCAGCAAUGCCGCGUGAGUGAAGAAGGCCUUCGGGUUGUAAAGCUCUUUUGUCAGGGAAGAAACGGUAGUAGCUAAUAUCUAUUACUAAUGACGGUACCUGAAGAAUAAGCACCGGCUAACUACGUGCCAGCAGCCGCGGUAAGAC
rnacentral:rRNA from 1 species